CGGUGUUUAACUGGCGUGAUGUGGGACGUCCUACCGGUGGGCUUAGCCUCGCGAGGGGCGGCCCAACUAAUAUCCCGUCGCGGUGCUCUUUACUGAGUGUCGAGUCGGGCCGGUACGUUUACUUUGAACAAAUUAGAGUGCUUAAAGCAGGCUAUCCUCGCCUGAAUACUGCGUGCAUGGAAUAAUGGAAUAGGACCUCGGUUCUAUUUUGUUGGUUUUCGGAACCCCGAGGUAAUGAUUAAUAGGGACAGAUGGGGGCAUUCGUAUUGCGACGUUAGAGGUGAAAUUCUUGGAUCGUCGCAAGACGGACAGAAGCGAAAGCAUUUGCCAAAAAUGUUUUCAUUAAUCAAGAACGAAAAGUUAGAGGUUCGAAGGCGAUCAGAUACCGCCCUAGUUCUAACCAUAAACGAUGCCAGCUAGCGAUCCGCCGAAGUUCCUCCGAUGACUCGGCGGGCAGCUUCCGGGAAACCAAAGCUUUUGGGUUCCGGGGGAAGUAUGGUUGCAAAGCUGAAACUUAAAGGAAUUGACGGAAGGGCACCACCAGGAGUGGAGCCUGCGGCUUAAUUUGACUCAACACGGGAAACCUCACCAGGCCCAGACACCGGAAGGAUUGACAGAUUGAUAGCUCUUUCUUGAUUCGGUGGGUGGUGGUGCAUGGCCGUUCUUAGUUGGUGGAGCGAUUUGUCUGGUUAAUUCCGAUAACGAACGAGACUCUAGCCUGCUAAAUAGGCGUACCUUAUGGUAUCGCGAAGGCCCCCGGCUUCGGCCGGUGGGUUUUUACUACCAACGUACAAACAAAUCUUCUUAGAGGGACAGGCGG
rnacentral:rRNA from 1 species